AACCUGAGCUGCUUGUCUUCUAAUCCUAAAUGGACAUCUUCAAAAUCAUGACAAAUCAAAAUAUAUCUCUUCUGAACUCUAAUCUCAUGAAUCAAAACCCUUUUCUCUCCCAUAACGUUAUCUUUUCUCUUUUUUAUCUUCUUUCUGUUCUAAACCUAAAUCGAGAUAUUCGAAUUGAAAUCAAGUUUUCUGAAAUCAAAAUUUAUAUCUUUUAAGUCUGAAUUUUAUUAAUCAAAACUCAUAGAAAUCGUUCAGAUCUGAGAUUUUGGUUUUUUCUCAUGUUACGAAACUUAGGGUUUCGUUGUUUGUUUUUUUUCAGUAGAAAUCACUAAAAAAGUUCAUUAUUUAUGAAGGAUUUUGGAUCUAAUAAAGGUAAAAUGGCGGUUCACCAUUAUCAUAGAGUUGGAGUUAAUGGUCUUGAAUUAAACAGGAAGAAAAAAAAUUCCAGUGAUAAAGUUUAUGUUGUUGAAAGAAAGAUGAAAGAGUCUUUUAGGAAGAUUUUCAGAUGGCUUAAAGACAGGUGAUUGUUGAAAGGGGAAAUUGCUGGAAAAAAAACGUCGUUGAAACUGUUAAGCUUCUUAAACAUAAACUGACUGAUAAGUUUGUUUGGUUUGUUCCUUGAUAAUCAUACAUGUUUGUUUCGUUUUUCCUUUAAUUUUAAAGUUGUUUUUGAGGUUUGGAAUUGUGACAUCUGAUUUAGUGGUUUUGUGAUUUUGAAUUUGUAGUUCUACCAAUCUAGUUGUCUAGUUCUAAUAGUGUUCCGUAGCCAGUCAUUUUCAGUGAUUGUGGAAUUUUAAGUGGUAGUGGAUGCUGGUUGUGGACGGUGAAGGUGGCUGGUAGUGGGGGUGGAUGUUAGUGGUGGGUGAUGCUGCUAGGGGUGGUGGAUGCUGGUGGUCAGUGGUUGAUGUUCUACUAUAUUCUAUUCAACUGGUAGAUCGCGGAGUGUUGCUGCAUAGUACUGUUUCGAUCCAAGCUGUACGAGGAUUAAUACCCAAGCUCAAAAGGGUCGAAACUUCACUUUUCUCUUGUUUAUUGUGAAACCACCAUUCCGCAUUUUAGUUUCUCCGGAAUAUCAAGGGUUUUUGAUAUUUUACCAUAUUACAAGGGCCAGUAUACAGUUUUUGACGUGUCUGCUCCAUUCGGUCGAUAUUGGUCCCUGUUGAGCAUCGUCAUGUUAAAGUAACAUAAAAUUCCAGUUCUAUUGAGGGUUCUUCCAAGAAAGGAUCUACAAGGGCAAAGUAGUUCUAGACGAAAUAUUUGCUAGGUUUACAAUCAAGGUUCCUUAUUGGAAAAUUGCAUUGAGAAAACUAUGGAUGCGCAAGAUACCUUCACCAUCCAUCGCUACUUGCCUGACGGAAGUUAUGAAGAUCGAGGAGUUGAUGAGGUGAUCGUUGAAUAUUCCUGGAAGAGACAAGUUGGUGGUGAUUGGUUAGUGGAUCAAUCUGGGGCUCUCGCUAUCACACUAUCAGCAAUAUAUUUUGUUAAUCUCAUUCUCAUUUGAAGUCUAGAUGCGUAAGUUGGAACAUCUGUGAUAUUUACCAAAUUAUUCUUAGUUUCUGACUUUCUGUCCUAUUUUGCUUCUGCAUUAAGUAUGUCUUUACUUGGUAAUCCAUCAUGUCAAUACUGGCUCUCUCAUCUGUUCAGAUUUUAUCAGCAAGGCCACUUGGUGGGGGUAAAAAUGGUGCGACUAUGGAGAACAUUUUGGUUCAGAAUUUCCCAUACAGGACUCCAAACAACUGAACUGGAAAAAAAAGGUAUGAAGCUGGUAAUGUUGUGGAUGGAUUGGUUCAUUACAUCAUGUCGUGGUGACAAGUGCGGAAAAAGGAUCGAGGUACCUUGUACCAUUUAUGUUAGUUUUUCAAGUUAGAGUAUAUCAGAGGCUAGUUUAAACUUGGGUAGGUCCUGUAGUGUGCCAACAUCAUACACACUCCCACUAUUUUCUUGUUGAUCUAAUCAUUAUGUAUUAGUCAUAAUUGGUUUGUAAACUCAGUCAUAGUUCAGCUCUGGUAUUCCGAGAUUAAUUAUCUUCAAGUCCUGCGAUGUAUUAUUCGUCUCCUUUAAUUGUACAAGUUCAAUAAAGCAUUUACUAUGUCUAUUUCGGAUCUCUUGUAGAGAGUAUAAUACAUGUGUAUGUAAUCCAUGUUGGAAGAGAGAAUAUUUUGAGAAUUUUCCAUUUUCGUAUGAAAAAUUGGGUCUUUUAGUUGA